rnacentral:rRNA from 1 species
CGCAUCAGCCAUGGCGCGGUGAAUACGUUCCCGGGCCUUGUACACACCGCCCGUCAAGCCAUGGGAGCCGGGGGUACCUGAAGUGCGUGACCGCAAGGAGCGCCCUAAGGCAAGACCGGUGACUGGGGCUAAGUCGUAACAAGGUAAC